GAUGAACGCUGGCGGCGUGCCUAAUACAUGCAAGUCGGGCGAACGGGCGAGAAGCUUGCUUCUCGCUCGUUAGCGGAGGGGGGGUGAGUAACACGUGGAUAAUCUACCUAUAAGUCUGGGAUAUCUUCGGGAAACCGUAGCUAAUACCGGAUAAUAUCUUGAACCGUGUGGUUCAAAAGUGAAAGACGGUCUUGCUGUCUGUUAUAGAUGGAUCCGCGCUGCAUUAGCUAGUUGGUAAGGUAACGGCUUACCAAGGCAACGAUGCAUAGCCGAGCGCAGAGGGUGAUCGCCCACCCUGGAGCUGGGACACGGUCCAGACUCCUACGGGAGGCCGCAGUAGGGUACCUUACGCAAUAGGCGAAAGCCUGACAGAGCAGCCCCGCGUGAGUGAUGAAGGUGUUCGGUUCGUAAAACUCUGUUAUUAGUGAAGAACAUAUGUGUAAGGAGCUGUGCACAGCUUGACGGUACCUAAUCAGAAAGCCACGGCUAACUACGUG
rnacentral:rRNA from 1 species